UGUGAUCUGGUGACAGAAAAGCAAAGGACAUCCCGUUCCUGGGAGUUUGAAAGGAAUCUGCAGUCCAGUGCCUGGAACUCAAUCCUCGACUGCUGCUGUUAAAAACAUGCAUUACAAUCUCUAGAACACGAGGAAAAACAGGGUCUUGUACAUAUAUUUUUUGGAAUUUCUUUGUAGCAUCAGUGUCUUCAUGUUUUACCAUGUCUCUUACCAUUACAUUUUUUGACUUUGUUUUAUAUGUCAUUGGAUUUGUAAAUUUACAUUUUUUUUAAAGAAGAGACUGAUGUAUAGAUAGAAACUCCCCCUCCCUUUUUUGCUUCACUAAUUUAGUUUUAGAAUGGGUUUUGAAUCUUCUUUUUAAAUUUUAUUUUGCUUUUAACAUUUCCUUGGGGUGCUUGGACAAAUCUAUCUGAUGGGACAAGGAGCACCGGAUCCUCUCUCGGGUUCUUCCUAGGACCAGCUUGGCCAUAUGGGCCUUCAGAAAGCAGUGCGACUGAACGCCAGGCUUGCAUUGCCAUUUGGGAACAAAAGAGAGAGAGAAAGAGAGAAGAAGAUCUGUUCAUAGGAGGGCCCUGACUUCAGAGCCCUGAAAUCUCUUCCUUGUCCCCACCUCAUUCCCCACCUCUACCCUCUAAUGGCAGCAUGAUGUGUAAACUCUGCAGGGGGUAGGGGGAGGUCUAACUGUCUUAACAUUGAAUUCACUGCUCUUCAGAAUACACUCUAGACCCAAAGUUGUGCUAGUCAUUCAACAGUGACCACUACAGAGUGCUCACUACAGAGUGAAGAUCAUGGGCAUGAAAAUGGGGAGAGUGUUGUUUCCGUUUUUUAAAAAAUGAGUUGAUGUAUCCUUAUAUAUAUAAAUAUAAAUAUAUAUAUAUAUAUAUAUAUAUAACAGCAAAACAAAACAAAACAAAGAAAAAAACACACAAAAAUACAAAACC
rnacentral:lncRNA from 1 species